rnacentral:rRNA from 1 species
AACGAACGUUAGCGGCGCGCCUAACACAUGCAAGUCGAGCGAGAAAGGGCUUCGGCCCCGGUAAAGCGGCGCACGGGUGAGUAACACGUGGAUAACCUACCCCUUGGUGGUGGAUAACCUUCCGAAAGGAGGGCUAAUACAGCGUAAGACCACGACUUCGAAAGAGGUUGAGGUAAAAGUGGGCCUCUGUACACAAGCUCACGCCAGGGGAUGGGUCCGCGGCCCAUCAGCUAGUUGGUAGGGUAACGGCCUACCAAGGCGAAGACGGGUAGCUGGUCUGAGAGGAUGAUCAGCCACACUGGAACUGAGACACGGUCCAGACUCCUACGGGAGGCAGCAGUGGGAAUCUUGCGCAAUGGACGAAAGUCUGACGCAGCGACGCCGCGUGAGUGAUGAAGGCC